GUGCUCGCUUCGGCAGCACGUGUAUUAAAAUCGGAACAAUACAGAGAAGAUUAGCAUGGCCCCUGUGCAAGGAUGACAUGCAAAUUCAUGAAGUGUUCCAUAGUUUU